AUUGAACGCUGGCGGCAUGCCUUACACAUGCAAGUCGAACGGCAGCACGGGUGCUUGCACCUGGUGGCGAGUGGCGAACGGGUGAGUAAUACAUCGGAGCAUGUCCUGUAGUGGGGGAUAGCCCGGCGAAAGCCGGAUUAAUACCGCAUACGAUCCACGGAUGAAAGCGGGGGACCUUCGGGCCUCGCGCUAUAGGGUUGGCCGAUGGCUGAUUAGCUAGUUGGUGGGGUAAAGGCCUACCAAGGCGACGAUCAGUAGCUGGUCUGAGAGGACGACCAGCCACACUGGGACUGAGACACGGCCCAGACUCCUACGGGAGGCAGCAGUGGGGAAUUUUGGACAAAGGGCGAAAGCCUGAUCCAGCAAUGCCGCGUGUGUGAAGAAGGCCUUCGGGUUGUAAAGCACUUUUGUCCGGAAAGGAAUCCUUGACUCUAAUACAGUCGGGGGAUGACGGUACCGGAAGAAUAAGCACCGGCUAACUACGUG
rnacentral:rRNA from 1 species